CCCAGUGAAGAGAACGAGGACCCCGUUGUGUACUGGAGGAAAGGUCCCGACUGCUGCAACCAGCAGAGCCUCCAGCCAAGCUCUGACAUGGGUAGGCCACAAGUACACAUUAUAAAGAACACCCUCAGGGGAUUCUCCAUCUUAAAACUGAGCAACGUUGACCAGAAUGCCAGUAACUCCUAUUUCUGUGAUGUGAUGCUAACACAGAAAAUCCAGGGCAAACGUGGAAAUGGCACCAAGCUGACUGUUCAUGAUUUCAACUGCAAAGACUGUAUAAAAUCAGAUAAGACCUGGUGGGGUUGGUUCCUUCUUCUUGGAUACACCAUCUUUGUCACCACAGUUAUCAUAGCUUUCAGCAUUCACCAGUGCUGUAAAAAGUGCAAGAGUGAGUCAAGAAACACAAACAGUGCUACCCUGACAAGUGAAUGGAUUUAUGACCAGCCAUCCAGACCAGUUAAUAAUGGAUUUAAUCAAGAAUAUGAAGAUAUGUCACUAGUAAGAACUUUCAGUGAUAUUGGAAGGAAAAUGAUAUGAAAAACAAGGUGCAUGCAGCUGUAACUAAGACAUGACUGUGUGUGAUGUGUGCUACUGAUAUCAAGAUAGAAAAGAAACAUAUACAUAAAUCACUUCAUUAACUUGGAAUGGUUUUUUGUUCAAGUUUUUUUUUAAUCUGAU
rnacentral:lncRNA from 1 species